UACGUAGGGUGCAGGCGUUAAUCGGAAUUACUGGGCGUAAAGCGUGCGCAGGCGGUUUGCUAAGACAGGUGUGAAAUCCCCGGGCUUAACCUGGGAACUGCGCUUGUUACUGGCAGGCUUGAGUGUGGCAGAGGGGGGUGGAAUUCCACGUGUAGCAGUGAAAUGCGUAGAGAUGUGGAGGAACACCGAUGGCGAAGGCAGCCCCCUGGGCUAACACUGACGCUCAUGCACGAAAGCGUGGGGAGCAAACGGG
rnacentral:rRNA from 1 species